rnacentral:siRNA from 1 species
UUUGCUGCCUUGUUUCGAGCCA